rnacentral:lncRNA from 1 species
UAAAUGUCCUGAAUUGAUGCAAGUCUUUUUCACCAGGGCCAGCACCUGAAGAGGAGGACAACCCGGAGGGCUACCCCGGAAGAUACCUCGACCGGACCAUCUUCAGGAGACGGCCGGAAGUUUGGUGACAUCAGACGGUCUCUUCACUUUUCUGGUCUAACAAGUAUCAUAGUGGUCUGUUACGUUUUCCACAUAUCACACUCAGGCUUCAAUUGAUGCAGUGGGGCAGUAGAGAUAGGCAGAUAGGUUGAUAGGGAGCUAGGUGGAUAGGUUAGAUUCAGAGUAGAAUUCUGUAGGUGUUGCCAUGGCCAUGGCGGGAGGCAGUUGAGGGGGUAGUGCAGGUUUUUUGUUUUUUUGGGGGGUGGGAGGUAGGAAGGGAUGGGUGGCACGGGUAGAAUGGUGUGGGAAGAGCUUCCUGCUGAUUUUUGAGUUUGAGUGUGAGGUUGUUGGAGUGGCGUGAAAUGUGGACGGCACGAAGGAUGACCUGAGACACCCCUCGACCGGACCAUGCACAGGAGGUAUUUGUCUGUGAAACAUGUCUUGGAACAUUUGUUAAUUAUUUCAGUAAAAUUUGAAAAAUAUGUUCUGGUGGGACUUAAUUCAAUGCAAAAUUUUUAUUUUUGCACUAAGAUGAUUUUUUUUUUAGUGAAAUGGUGAAAAACCUACAGAUGUUUAUAAGUAUCCUCCUUUCCUUUUAAACCAUAAGUAAACAAUAUUAUAGCUACUCUUUUGUUGUUUUCUAAAACAAAAGAACAGAUCGUGUAGAUGGAAGUGGAUAUUCUUAAUUGAAUUAAUCUUCAUCACCAGGACCACCCCCUGAAGAGGACGACCUGGACGAUCCUACGAUCGGACCAUCAUCAGGAGGUAUUUGUCAUUGAAACAACUCUUGGAACAUUAUUUGUCCUUUUCUUUAUCACUAAUUUCAGUAACAUUAGAAAAAUAUCUACUGGUGGGACUUUGGUGCAAUGUAAAGUUUUAUUUUUGCCCUUUGGUAAAAAACGAAAAUUGUUAAAUGUAUUUAUUGACAGAUUUUUGUAAAUGUAUUUCUUAAAAUGACACGUCUUCAUCACCAGGACGACCCCCUGGACAGGAGGACGACCUGAAGGAUCCCACGACCGGACCAUCUUCAAGAGGACCAUCCCCUGGAGGACGACCCGAAGGAUCCCAUGACCGGACCAUUUACAAGAGGACCACCACUUGGAGAGGACGACCGGGAGGGUCCAACGACCGGACCAUCUUCAGGAGGAUCGCCCCCUUGAGAGGACGACGCGAAGGAUCCCGUGACCGGACCAUCUUAACGAGGACCACCCCCUGGAGGACGACCUGAUGGAUGUCACGACCGGACCAUCUACAGGAGGACCACCCUCUGGAGAGGACAACGAGCAGAGAACCCAAAGGAUUCCAUGACAGGACCAUCUACAGGAGAAAGCUGCCAAGCCAACAGUUGACAACCACCCAAGAAGCAAAUGCCCUGUCCAGACAAGGGUCUUCCAUUCACCCUGGAUUGUAGCAUCCCCCCUUCUGUACCUGACAUCCAGCCAAGUGAGAGUGCUGUGCAGACAUUAUCACAUUGUGUCAAUAACACUGUGAAACAAUCUUUCAUUCAGUCGGUCAAGAACUAACGGACAAUUGCCAGGCAUCUAGAAUCCCGCCAACAUGUAGCUGCUCUUGAACGGACUAGUCACUUCCUCUAUAUAGCUACCAUGAACAACUUUAAAAGCUGAUGAAGCAGUUUUAUUUCUCUUGUGAAGUUAUGUUGAUAGUGCUGUAAAACCAGUAAAGACUCAAGAGAAAUUCCUUGUAUGAUGUCCAGCUGGAGAUUUUGUAAAGAAGUCAGAGAUACAUGGUCACUGAUUUAGAACAAUAAGACAUUUUGUUCUUACUUUUAGUACAAACUUUGGUGACAUUAGAAGGUCUAGCCACUAUUCUGGUCAAACAUGUCUCGCGGUGCUCUGGUGCUACAUUUUCCGUAUAUCACACUCAGGCUUAAAGUGACACAGUGGGGCUGUAGCUGUAGCUGUAGAGAAGGGCAGAUAGGUUGAUAGGGAGCUAGGUGGUUAGGCUAGGUUCAGAGUAGGAUUUCGUAGGUGUUGCCAUGGCCAUGGCUGGAGGUAGUUGAGGGGGCAGAGUAAGUUUUUUUAAGGGGGGGGGGUGGCAGGGUUGGAAUAGGAUGAGAAGAGCUGCCUGCUGUUUUUAAGCUUGAGUGUGUGGUUGUUGGAGUUGAUUUUGUAUUCUAAAAUGUUCCUUGCAUUUUGCUGGUACCAUAAUUAAAUGUUUACUCACUUGAUCAUUAAAAAAUAAACAAGCACUGCCAGCUUUUAGUUUGGCCUUUGGCCUUCUGUGGGAGACGUUCUGAUACCACCAGUAUUUUCUUGACCAGAAGUUUGUAGUUGUGAAAAGUCUGAAGUCCACUGAUUCAUCAAAAUUGGAAGCCUUUUUAGAGCUUGAAGAUAUUUAAAAAAAUGAAAAGCUAGAACUUUACUGCAAUCCCAUGUUGUUUUGGUCAUAGUAAUAGGAAUUGUAUACAUGGUCCAUGUGGACAUUUCUACCCAAGAGAAGGGAAUCAGGUAGUUAUGGAUGUUUGUUGCUGCUCUGUUUCUCCUGACAAACUUUUGUAUGCCCGUUUGCUUGGGGGAAAAAUGCUUCCCCCCCUCCAAUUGACUACGAAAUAGAUCUAGUUGUUCAAUUUCUCCAGUUUGUUUUGCCUCCGCAAAGCUCAUUGUCCCAUUUAUCUGCUCAUGGUCUUCACUGUUUGUUUUUUAGAAGCUUCAUUCACUUGCUCCACAAUUCCAACAUCGGAAAUCACUGCUGAUGUUGCAAUGUCCAUAAAUUGAAUGGCGCCUCCCCUCCCCAAGCCUCAGGCUUGGGGAUUGGUUGAACAAAGAAAAAAAAGAUGCGAAUCCAUUGUUUCAGCCACCCGCUUGUACCGAUAAGUGUGUGGACAGUGUUUAGUCACUGUGAAGGCAAGACUCGCAUGGCAGUUGUGCAACUCUUGGUUAGGUCAACUCGUAGAGAUGGGCUGGUCCGUUACUUCAGUCAUAAAUAAGAAGGGAGAAUACAUGUUGGGAAAGAAAAUUGGUUCGUUACAACCAUCAGUAUGUUUACUAAAA